AUUUGAAUGAUGACUCAAAGUUGUCGGAUACACCUUCACUCCUCUCAUGAAUGAAACACGAACAAUCUGACAAAC
ensembl:snoRNA